CGCUGAGGGGAGGAGAUGGCGGCGGUGGGAAGGGAGGGUUUUCCAGCGCCUGAAGGGGCUCCGAGAGCGCUGGAGAGGGAGUUUGGAGAAGGUGUGGGACAAAGGGCACGGGUUUAAAAUGGAGGAGGGGAGGUUUGGGGAUUUUGCGAAGAAAUUCCUCCCCGUGAGGGCGGAGAGGGCUUGGCACGAGUUAUUCCAGGGAUGCCUCAUCUCUGCAAGUGUCCAGGGCUGGGCUGGACGGGGCUUGGAGCAACUUGGGGUCAUGGAAGGUGUCCCUGGCCAGGGGGGAUCCCUUCCCGCCCAGAGGAUCACCCUGGAUCAUUUCCACCCCAAAGGGUGAUCCUGGAUCCCUUCCCACCCAGAGGAUCAUUUCCAAGCCAAAGGAUGAUCCUGGAUCCCUUCCCACCCUGGGCUGUAGGAGUUGCAGGGGGUAGGACGGUCGGGACAGACGGGGAUGAGAGAUCUCUGAAUCCAGGUCGUGGGAUUUGUGGUUUAUUGCAGGGGCCCUGCUUGGAUGUGCCAGCUGCAGCUCGGAGCAGGCCCCAAAGAGAGAGAGGGAAUGAGAGAGCAAGGAAGAGUAAAGAGAAUGAAUGCAAGAGCGUGGUAAAGAGAGAAUGUGCGAAUGGUUCCCGUUACAAUACAAUAAAUCUUCUGUGUUGAAUAUUCUAAUUCUCACUAACCAAUCUAAUACAAGAUACAAAUCUUACAGCAUUUACAUACAGCCUCUAAGAAUCAUUACAUUACCAUACUGUGUCACAUUUUAAACCCUAAAAACGACUCUUUGGACCCUUUCUGCCAAGCUAGUAGGGUGUGCUCUGACCCUUGGACCUGUCUGCAAGCAGCGGGUAUUGUUCCAUCAAAGGGAGAUUACCUUCAGCCAGCCAUUCCAUUGUUCUCCAGUUGUUCAGUAACUAAGGUAUCUCAAAGCUUGCUUUCAUUUCAAUCUUGCUCAUAGGUUCCAUAUUCUCAAAAUCUUUUGCCAGUCAAUCAUAUUUAUAAGGCUUUCCCGUUUCAUCUUCCCCAGCACUGGAUCCCUUCCCACCAAAGGAUGAUACUGCAUCUUGUCCCACCCAAAGGAUCACUCUGGAUCCUUCCCACUCAAAGGGUGAUCCUGGAUCCCUUCCCACCCAAGGCAUCAACCUGGAUCCCUUCCCACCCAAACCAUUCCUUAAUUCUAUAAUCAAGGCCCGUUUAGAAUUUUCCAGUUUGUGCCUGAGAUCCAACAUUAUCUCCAGGAACAUCAGCACCUCUCUCCACUCCUUUUAUCCCUGAUGGUUUUUGCUUCAGCCUGGGAUGCAAAAAUACCUUUCUGUAGGGACUUUCUGUAGGGAUUUUCUGUAGGGACUUUCUGUAGGGAUUUUCUGUUGCUGUUUCUUUCAGUGUACAAAGGAUUUCUGGAUUUCCCAACACUGGUGAUGCUGCCCUGGAGCAGCUUCAGGUGAUACGGAUCUAAAAGCUCCAUCAGUCAUCAAAUUGCUCAGAGUUUUGUCUUCCCAAAGGCCUUUCCCAGCUGUUUAUGAGGUGGUAAAUUCUCUGGGUUCACCCUGGGCCACUGCAUCCUUGCUCCUGGCUCAUUAGAAAUUUAGGAAAAAAUAAGAAUAUACCUAUUGUAAGGAUUUUUGGGAGAGUCUGCAUCAUCACACAGGUUGUAAGUGGAUUUUUGGCCUCAAGUCACACAGCUUAGUGGCUCCUGGAGAGGGUUUUAUUGGGGAAUUGGGUGCUUGCAUUUAUAGUUUGUAUCAUAUAUAUAAUAUAAUAAAUAUAAUUAUAUAUUAUAUUUAUAAUAUAUUUAUAUUUAGUGUAAAACCUUUCUCUGGAUACCACAAAGCGGUCCACUCUGUAGGCAUUUCUGUGCUGCUCCCUCCCAUCUCUGCUUGCCAAUUUUGUCAAUCUCCAGGGAGCAGAGGAACAUUUGGGAGCUCAGGGAAGACUGAAGGAAGGUACAGAAACACCUGGCAGGUGCCCCAGGCCUCCAGAGCUGCGUGUUGGGAUGAAGAUGAGGAGGAGGAUGAGGCUUUGCUGGCAGUGCUGCUGCUCCUCUGACAGAAAUGUGGCAUUUUCAUCAGCUCAGACUCCUUGUCAUUUCCCGAGUUUGGUGCAAUUAGGGCUGAGGGGAGCUCCAGGCAGGAGGAAUUCCUUCAAACCUCUGAUUCCAGGGACGUGGCUGCCCAGAGAGCCACAGCCAUUCUUCUGAGAGUUUCUGCUGUUUCAUUCAUCAGCUCCAGAUUUUCUGCUUGCUGCUCACUUCAAAGCAGGCACUCUUGAGGUGCAGCCUCCCAAAAUCAUAUUGAAAGCUGGUGUCUUCAUCCCCCAGGAGGAGCACACAGUCUUCCAGGGCUGUGGGAGAUUUUUCUCAUCCUUUAGAGCUUUUUUCCUGUGACAUUUUUAAACACAGCCUUUGGUCACUCUGCAGAUGGGUGUUUUCUAGGCUUUUGAGUUUUCUCCAGGUCCCAGUGUGAUCACAGUUGGUUCACAGAGGGAUUUAUUUCAAGGAUUAUCAAUUCACUGGGUUAUCUUUUGCAGCAGGAAGGGUUUUUCUUUUAGAAGUUCAACCCCUGCCUUCUUUCCCACCACUCCAAAGUGAAUUUUACUGUCAAGAACACCGUAAAGCUUUCCUUGAGUAAAAGGAUCACCAAAUCCUUUGGGUUUGCAUUAGGUGUGCUGAGGUUGUCAGUGCUGUGCCUCUUCUCUUCAGCACCAUACAACUUCACAGCUCACUUUGGGCAGAGUCAGGUCUUUUCCAGCCCUCGAGGGACGCAGGGAUUUGGCACAGAAUGGGAUUUUAGCCGUGAGCACAGAGGUGCCCCAGCCUGAGGCAGGAAGGACAGGCACUGAGGAAAGCAGGGAUGCAGCAGGAGCUUGACCACACUUGGUGUGAUCUUCACCAUCUAAACACGGGUGUUUGGAGGGAUUUAUCCUCAGUUUUGAGGUCCUGGUUCCACUGGGGGGUGAAUUCCUCUUUAUUCCUGCUCUGGGUUUUCUCCACCAGGAAGAGCUGCCUGAGCUUCAGCUCACACUGACCUCAAGUCAAAAGCUCCCUGUCUCAGGGAAUUCCUCUUCUUGGAUUGCACUUAACAUCUCCCCUUGCACAGGAAUCGAGGGUGUGUUUGGGAGAGAACAACAGCCUGAGAUUUGUUCCAUUCAGGCAUUCCAAAUGUGCUGUUCCCAGCUUGAAAUUCGUUCCUUUCCGGGAUUCCAAAUUCCCAGCGGCGACUCGCUGCCAGAGUUUGAUCCAUUGUUAAUAGGUCAGUGGCUGUAAAUGGACCUUUCCUGUUGUUUUGACAUUUGUCUUCAAUUUUCCCCCAAUGUUUCUUCAUUAAACCCCUGACUGACAGCUUGCUGAAAGGAAACCCACGGUAGCUGCUUUCCCUUUCACUCCUCUGCUCAAACCUCGUUUUUCCACGCCGACAAGCAGAGCUCCCCUCACCGCUGAGCUAAAUCCUCUUUCAUCUUUAUCCCUUGCCUUCUGCAGCGAGGAGAGGAUGCUGUGAUGCUGCUGGGAUGCAGCGAGGAGCUCUGCUCCAGGAUUUAGCUCUGCCCAGAGCGCCGGGGAUGCUGCGGAAAGGUUGCCAGAGAGGCGGAUACCAGCCUGCAUCCAGCUUUUUGCUGCAUCCCUGCUGCCGAGCCAGAUAUGGAUCAUCCCUGGGAUUAUUCCUGCCUGUCCCUGCGCAGGGAGGGGACUCUGGAGGUGCUGCUGUGCCAGGGGGGUGUCGAUGGGCGCCGGACCCUGCGGGCGCUGUGGAUUUUUCAGUUCUGGAGCCGACGCUCCCCUCACGGUGAGGUCUCUGUGGCGCAAUGGACGAGCGCGCUGGACUUCUAAUCCAGAGGUUCCGGGUUCGAGUCCCGGCAGAGAUGAUCUCCAGGUCACCCUCAGCUGUGCUGCCCACGAGGUGAGGAGGUGUGAGGAUCCCUGUCCUCCCUGCAAGAGGAGAAAUUCUCACUUGGAAAGGAAAAAAAAAUCAGCCAAACCUGCUGGGGAAGGUGAGGAAAAUUGAGGAAUUAGGACAUAAACACUGAAUUACACCUGAGUUACACCUGUCCUGUCACUGCUGCAGCAUGUUCUUCCUGGGUUUUUGGCAAUGACCACUUGUGCAAAUGCAGUUAAAAAUCAGUUCACUGCUAAUUAUCCCACACUCGGAAUCAGAAUCAGGAAGAUUUUGCUUUCUACCCCAGAACAUUCCAAAUUCCCAACAAAAAGGAUGUUUGGGAUGCCCUACACUGAAGAGGGAACAUUCAUGGAAUCUCAUAUUUACCCCUCCAGACCUCAGGUAGUAUCAGAUGGAUGGGAUUCCCAGGAAUGAAUCCCCAUCUGGAGGGAAUUUGGGAAUUUGUCUCUGAGAUCCCCAAAUGUCACCCUGUGAGGCCAAACAAAAUUCUGGAAUGAUCCCAUGGCCACCCUAGAACUGACAGAAAUGGUGGAAUGUUCCUCUGGUAACCCUAGAGCCAACAAAAAUGGUAAAACGCUCUUCUGGAAAUUGUAGAACUGAAAAAAAAAAAAGGUGAAAUUCUCCUCUGGUAUCUCUAGAACCAACCAAAAAAAAAUUGAAUGCUCCCCUGGCAACUCUAGAACUGGCAAAAAGGGUGGAAUUCUACCACAGCAACCUUGGAAUUUAAAAAAAAAAUAUUAAAUACUCCCAUGGCAACCCUAGAACUGACAGAAAUGGUGGAAUGCUUCCCCUGGAAAUCCUAGAACCAAUAAAAAGGGUGGAAUGCCCCUCUGGCAACUCCAGAACUGGCAAAAAGGGUGGAAUUCUACCAUGGCAACCCUAGAAACAAAUAAAACCAGUGGGAUGAUCCCAUGGCAACCCUAGGACCAACAAAAACAAUGGAAUAAUCCCAUGGCAACCCUAGAACUGGCAAAAAUGGUGGAAUUCUCCUCUGGUAACCCUAGAAUUUAAAAAGAAGAUUAUUAAAUGCUCCCCUGGGAGCCCCAGAACCAACAGAAACAGUGGGAUGAUCCCAUGGCAACCCUAGAACUGACAAAAAUGGUGGAAUUCUCCUCUAGAAAUCCUAGAGCCAACAAAAAUGGUGGAAUGAUCCUUUGGUGACCCCAGAACCCACCGAAAUGGUAAAAUACUCCUCUGGAACCCAAGAACUGAAAAAAAAAUUGUGGAACUCUCCUCUGGUAUCUCUAGAACCAGCAAAAAAAGUGGAAUGGUCUACUGGAAAUCCUAGAACUGACAGAAAGGGUGGAAUGUUCCUCUGGAAAUCCUAGAGCAAACAAAAAUGGUGGAAUGGUCCUGUGGUGACCCUAGAACCUACAGAAAUGGUGGAAUGCUCUUCUGGAAAUCCUAGAACUAACAAAAAUGGUGGAAUUAUCCUCUGGCAACCCUAGAGUUUAAAAAAAAUUAUUAAAUGUUCCUCUGGAAACCCUAGAGCCAACAAAAGUGGUGGAUUGAUCCCGUGGUGACCCUAGAACUGGCAAAGAUGGUGGAAUGUUCCUCUGGAAAUCCUAAACCCAACAAAACCAAUGGAAUGCUUGUUUGACAACCCUAGAACCAAGAAAAACUCUGGAAUGUUCCCCUGCCGUCCCUAAAAUCAACAAAAACUCUGGAAUGUUCCCCUGCCAUCCCUAAAACCAACCAAAAAUGGUGGAAUCCUCCCCUGGAAUCUCCGUUCCCAGGAGCUCUGGGUGUUCCUCCUGCCCCAUGGACAAUAAAACCCGGCAGGUUGGACACCUCUGCCUCCCCCCAUUCACCACCCACCCCAAACUGGGGCUGUGACAUGGGGGGACACUUUGUGCCCCUGAUCCUCCAGGAAUUUUUAACCCUUGUGGCUUCCCAGAGCCACCCCAGAUCCAGCAGGGAUCAGGGUGGAGGAGGUGUUGGGCUCCCCCAGGAGCUCCCAGGGGUUGGGGUUCAGUUUAUUUAGGUUUAUCCCUAAAUAAAUUUAUCAUUUCUGGA